AAAAUUCGAGGUAGACAAAGAGACCGUCCGGGGGACCUCGCGUGUGUCAAGAGGUCGACGGGUGUGGUGUCUUGCGGUGGGCAGGCCAGCAGUGGGGACCUUACAGGGAACGAUGACCACGGCAGGCCCAAGGGAUGGAGCAGAGGCCACCUGGAGACUCUGUGGUCAGGCCCAAGCAGUUCCGACUAUGGUAAUUGGAGCCAAUUUUCAUUCUGGAAAAUGUGAAGAGCCUCAGAGAUUCACCGACGCAAGCCUAGGGGGGCGCCGUUCUCUGACCCGCAGAUCGGCAGGGGGACGAUGCAGGGUCCCCCCUGGACACGUCGAAGGCUCUCUCUGCUUUGAAAUGGCUGAGAGCCCGGCUGAGCCAAAACCACUGGAGAGUCAAGGCUGGACUAAAUAAUAUCCUCGGGGUAAUGCUUUUCACCUUCAUAAGGAGAAGAAUUACGAUGCUCCUUCCCUCAUGUCCUCAGCUGAUGGCCAGAGAAGAGAGAUAAUAUUUACUAUUUUGUCCUUACAAAACACAGACAGCGGUGCCGACCGUAUAUUUGAAGAGGGGAGACUUGAUAUCUGGAGAUGGGGUGUCGUCGGGCCAGGAAGAGCGGGAGAUUUCGUUUUAUUUAUUUAUUUAGCUCUGACCCUGGAACCUUCUCCCGAAGAACGCAGGGUCACAGCCGCCAAAGGCCCCGGCAGGAAGCCAGCCCCGGGUCAGUGGGCAGGGAGUCGCUCUGGAAGCGUUAACAAGGCGCCAGUCGGGAGAGCUGGGCCCUGGGGACAACCGUCAGCCUCGGUGGCCUCUCUGCUGAGUUGAGCCCAAAACAACAGCUCUGCCUGGAGGCCUACAAAGCGAGCAUCCGGGCAGACUCAGAAGCGGUCUCUCUCUCAUAUUCUGCUGAGCCCAAGAGUGUCAUUUUUUCGUUUGGUGUCUCCAAAGCUCGCGUCCCCUCUUCCUCAUUAGCCGUGGCUGUCCCCCCGCCCCCCAACUCUCCCCGAGGAGAGGAGGCGUCCGCACGGCGGUGGGGAUCUGUCUCCUGGGGGAGGGGGGGGUGGGGGUGACAUCUAACCGGGCGGCAGGAGACGCAGGUUCCAUCUGGUGGCCUGAGCGCCCGAGCCGGCUGCUUUUCCUUCUCUGGAAACACGACCUGACCCACUUCCUGCUGGCGUGAUGGCGUACAAGUCCUCGAAGGCCCAGAGGACAGGCAGGCCACGUCUGCUCUCCCCACUCCGCGUCACCCCCGAGGGAGUAAAGACACUUCUCUUUUCAUCUGGAGGAAGAGCUGCUGGGACCCACACCUUCCGUCCUCCGAGGAACCGUCCCGGCUGGUGCCGCCGUCCUCCGGCCCUGGCAGAGUCGUGCCGCCGCAGGUGUGGCUUCCAACCGCGGAGCUUUGCCGGGAGCUCGGGAAACCCGCAUCCCACCUCCUGGCAUUGAUGGAUGAUCCUAUCGGUUGGGGGAAAAUGCUCUGGUCACGCACUGCUGAGGUGUGGGGAAAGAAUUUACUGCAUAACAUUUACUUUCUAGCGCGGGGCUGGGAACAGAAGGCCACGGGGGCGAGGGGCGUUUCUUCCCCUGGUCAGGUGGCUCCUAGCUUCACCUGCCAUCUAGGGCCUGGGCGCCAAGAGGACACGCAGGGGGUCCGGAGGCAUUUCUCCGUUUCUGCAGCUAUGGGCGGGGGCAGGACCAGCAACGAGACGGUCAGUCCGGGGCGGCUUUGGCGUCACCCGGGCCCUGGAGCGGCACCAACUCCCUCGGAGGCCGAGGUUCCCGUCCCGGUGCGAAGAACGAAACCCGAAGGGGGUGCCGUGGGAGGCGUCAGUACAAUUGCACCGACAGCACCCUCUGGCAGAGGCAGCGAGCCUCGGGGCCUGAUCCUAGGGUCUCGGCAUCGUGCCUCCCGGGCCUCUGGCCCUCUGGCUCUGCACAGAGGGGUGCUACUGCGCCCCAGUCCGAGGCCUGGGGAGGUGCCGAGCCAGCUGACGGCAAUCGGUAAGCCCGAAAGAGCCACCUGCCUCUGCCGCUCUGAGACCCCUCCCCAGCCUCCUGAUCUCCACCUGCUCCGGCGGUUUCUGUCCAGGCAGGCCAGUCCCCGGGGGAGACUCGGGAGCCCGCAGGCCGGUGGGGUUCAAGCUCCGCCAGGUCGCUUAGCCUUGGCCUCUGCUUCUGUACGACGGGAGGGCCAGGCCCUACAUGCCGGGUCACGGCAAACACUAGCACAAGGUGAGCCACUGGGAGCUCAGCGCUGGCACCCGGGAGCCAGCAGUGCUGGGGAACGCUUGGGAUCCGGAGGAAGCAGGACUGGUGUGAGGUGACGAAAUGGGAAGAAUUCCAAGGUAGGGAGGAGAAACGGAGGCUCAGGGCCAGCUGCCGUGGCCGUCGUGAGAGGGCUCCAGGUGGGUCGCUCAGGCCAACAUUCUGGGGCCUCUGUGUCACCCCCCAGUGCCAGCCCUCGCCCCUUCUAGCUCCUGAUAUAUGAACCUAGGAACGAGCAUGUGCAGGAGGCGUUCCGGGACGCUGGCAGGCACACGGCGGGGGUCCGGCUUCCCCGCCUGUGUCACGACGGCCACCAGAGGAAGCCGGUCAGGCCCAACCCGGGAAAGCCUUUUCCUUUUCAGUCCACCAGGGGGCCAUUUACUAAAUCCCCAGGACCGGCGAAUUGUGCCCUCGCUCGGAAAAAUGGCUCCCUUGCAUCUUUCGGGGCCCACUGGUGUUUAUCACCGUGUGGGAGGGCCAAUCGUCAGAGCUCUCAGGGACGGGACACAGCCGGUUUUAGAUGGCCGGUGGGAAGGCAUCACAGUCGCCUGGGAGUUAGUGAUUGAUGAGUGGGCACAUAUAGUCAUCAAUUCAUUAAUGUUAUUAUGAUACGAACGCUAUCACAUAUCAACAAUAUGUAUUAUCGAUGUUACAAAUAACUUGCUUUAUUCUCUCAGUCUGUGUUUAUUGAGUACCUACUACGUGCCCAGGCCUGUGUCGGGCUCUGGGAAAACAGUGGCGAAGGACGACCUGGCUUGGCCCCCACGUCAUGGCACUUACAGUUCACUGGGAAGCUAGACAACCGUCGAAUAGUGAUCAGUGAUGAAGGUGGAAUUGCAAAUUGUGUUCGAGGGAAGUCACAAACCCUCUCACAGCCUGGAGUAGGAGGAUUUGACUUGGUCAGGGAACGGGGGGUGGCGUUUUGAGGAACCAACCCCUGAAAGAUGAGAUGGGGUCAGUUAGGCGGGUGUAAAGGGGGAAGAGUGAUUGGGGCAGAGGGGGACAGCAUUUGCAAAGGCCCUGUGGCAGGAGGACAUAGAACAAGCACGUGGGCAGAGGACAGAGAUGGGGACAGUGCCAGAUGAGGCUGUGCAGGCGGGCAAGGCCCAAGCUGGGGAUCUGUAUGUACCCCAAGAGCACUGGGAACCACGAAAGGAUGCAAAGGGAUAAUGUGGUCAGAUUUGCCUUUUAGAACGACCACUCUGGCUACGCGUGAUGGGCCGUGCGAUGUGCUGCCCAGUUCGUCCUGCAGAAAUAAAGGCCUGCUCCCCACAGGUCCGGAGGCUGCUGGCAGAACGCCCUCAGCAUGUGCCCCCUUCCUGGAUGGGUGUCUGCCCAGAGGGCACCGGCCCCAGUCACGCCCCAUCCCAGGGGGGCCAGCGGCUGGUGCCUGGUCGACGGCAGGACGGCUCAGAGGGUCAUCCCAACUCCGGGGUCCCCGGCGGGGCCAUCCGAGGCCUUCCUCGAGGCUGGAGGUGAGCUGGAUAACACGCCCUCCCUAACCCGGCCACCCCUCCCUUGCCCAGGUGACAUGUCUAACACCACACCCAGCCCGAGGCCCUGCAGGGCUCAUCUCCCUCUCGGAGCCUGCUUCCUGGGACGCCCGGUGACAGCCUGGGUGAGCUGUGUGUACUUCAUCAUCACUCAGCUCCAAUGACGCACUCAGAUGCUCAACAAGAAGCCUGAACUUAAAAUAUUGUGCUACCGUCCCGAUGAAUGUUUCCUGCUUCGACGAGCGCCUGCCAAUGGGGCGUAGAGCGGGAUUUUGACACCUUAAUGAUUUCUCCGAUGCUGCCCUGCGAUUUCCCACAGUCAUUCAUGCGCGUCGAUGAAGUCUCCAGGAUCCCGUUCGGAAAGCCUCAUGCAUAGUCCGGCUGAACGCCCCGUCCCAAUUUCUGUGACAGGGUAACCAGGUGAAGUUCUUUUUUUUUUUUUUUUAAAUGUAGCCCCAUGACAAUGCUCAGCGGAAGGGGGGGAAAUUGAACCUGAAGUUACAUUUGGAACCCAUCUCAGCUCGCGGGGCCAGCGCCAGACUUUGUGCCUUGUGACUCUCCAAGUUGGGGCUGUACUGUGCUGCGGUCCCCACUCUUCAGUGCUCCCCCAGAUUCCCUGGCAUAUGUGACCACUUUCCGUGAUGCUUAUUAACAUCGUGAUGGGUCAGCCUUCCAGGGGACGUGCUUUGUGCUAGACGGUCAUCAGUAAACAUCAGGGUAACAGCCCAGUUCUGAGAAGGGGGCAUGGCGGAGCUGGUUGGGGUGCCUGGAGCAUGCUGUCCACGUGACUCCGAAUUGCAGGCCACACCCGAGUCAGCUCCGGGGGGCGGGGGGGCACGCUGCUGAGGAGGGCACCGGAUCCCGGCCACCUCCACGGGCCGCCCCAGAAAGCUAUCAGUCCUCCACUCAAUCAACAGACGUCUCUGUUUGGUUUUAAAACAGAAUCAGGGGGCGCCUGGGUGGCUCAGUCGGUUAAGCACCGACUUUGGCUCAGGUCACGAUCUCAAGG